AAGUCGUAACAAGGUUUCCGUAGGUGAACCUGCGGAAGGAUCAUUAAUGAAAACUUCAGGAGUUGCUGCUGGCCUCUCGAGGCAUUCGUGCACGCUCCGUUUUUCAUCCACCCACACCUGUGCACAAUUCAAUUUGAGAGGGAAAGAAAAGGCGGGAGGGGGAUUUCUUCGGGAGUUCUCUUUCAAUCUCUAUUUCCUUCCAAAUUAUUUAACACACUCUACGAAAUUAUCAGAACGAACAUGUUUAUUUGUAAACAAACUUAACAACUUUCAACAACGGAUCUCUUGGCUCUC
rnacentral:misc_RNA from 1 species